rnacentral:rRNA from 1 species
CACUCUUAAGAUUGAGCUGUGAUGGGGAGAGGAAAUUGUUUCCUCGAGUCGUUGAUUUCACACUGCCGAGAAAAGCCUCUAGAUAGAGAUUAGGUGCCCGUACCGCAAACCGACACAGGUAGUCAAGAUGAGAAUUCUAAGGUGAGCGAGCGAACUCUCGUUAAGGAACUCGGCAAAAUGACCCCGUAACUUCGGGAGAAGGGGUGCUCUUUAGGGUGCAAGCCCAGAAGAGCCGCAGUGAAUAGGCCCAAGCGACUGUUUAUCAAAAACACAGGUCUCUGCUAAACCGUAAGGUGAUGUAUAGGGGCUGACGCCUGCCCGGUGCUGGAAGGUUAAGAGGAGUGGUUAGCUUCUGCGAAGCUACGAAUCGAAGCCCCAGUAAACGGCGGCCGUAACUAUAACGGUCCUAAGGUAGCGAAAUUCCUUGUCGGGUAAGUUCCGACCCGCACGAAAGGCGUAACGAUUUGGGCACUGUCUCAACGAGAGACUCGGUGAAAUCAUAGUACCUGUGAAGAUGCAGGUUACCCGCGACAGGACGGAAAGACCCCGUGGAGCUUUACUGUAGCCUGAUAUUGAAAUUCGGCACAGCUUGUACAGGAUAGGUAGGAGCCUUUGAAACGUGAGCGCUAGCUUACGUGGAGGCGUUGGUGGGAUACUACCCUAGCUGUGUUGGCUUUCUAACCCGCACCACUUAUCGUGGUGGGAGACAGUGUCAGGCGGGCAGUUUGACUGGGGCGGUCGCCUCCUAAAAGGUAACGGAGGCGCUCAAAGGUUCCCUCAGAAUGGUUGGAAAUCAUUCAUAGAGUGUAAAGGCAUAAGGGAGCUUGACUGCGAGACCUACAAGUCGAGCAGGGUCGAAAGACGGACUUAGUGAUCCGGUGGUUCCGCAUGGAAGGGCCAUCGCUCAACGGAUAAAAGCUACCCCGGGGAUAACAGGCUUAUCUCCCCCAAGAGUUCACAUCGACGGGGAGGUUUGGCACCUCGAUGUCGGCUCAUCGCAUCCUGGGGCUGUAGUCGGUCCCAAGGGUUGGGCUGUUCGCCCAUUAAAGCGGUACGCGAGCUGGGUUCAGAACGUCGUGAGACAGUUCGGUCCCUAUCCGUCGUGGGCGUAGGAAAUUUGAGAGGAGCUGUCCUUAGUACGAGAGGACCGGGAUGGACAUACCUCUGGUGUACCAGUUGUCGUGCCAACGGCAUAGCUGGGUAGCUAUGUAUGGACGGGAUAAGUGCUGAAAGCAUCUAAGCAUGAAGCCCCCCUCAAGAUGAGAUUUCCCAACUUCGGUUAUAAGAUCCCUCAGAGAUGAUGAGGUUAAUAGGUUCGAGGUGGAAGCGUGGUGACACGUGGAGCUGACGAAUACUAAUCGAUCGAAGACUUAAUCAAUUU